UACGGGGGGAGCAAGCGUUGUUCGGAUUUACUGGGCGUAAAGGGCGGGUAGGCGGCCACCGCAAGUCAGUUGUGAAAUCUCUGGACUUAACCCAGAAAGGUCAACUGAUACUGCGGGGCUAGAGUGCAGAAGGGGCAACUGGAAUUCUCGGUGUAGCGGUGAAAUGCGUAGAUAUUGGGAGGAACACCGGUGGCGAAGGCGGCUACCUGGACCGGUACUGACGCUGAGGCGCGAAAGCUAGGGUAGCAAACAGG
rnacentral:rRNA from 1 species